rnacentral:lncRNA from 1 species
GGCCUUUCCACGAGUUCGAUGCUGUCGCCUUCGAGCGCGUGUUUCGCGCCUGCCUUAGCUUCGUCGUGGUGGGGCGGGAGGCAUUUUAGGAGUUGAUCGGCCAGGGGUGGUUCCUCACCCACAAUGCCACGAAGUGGUUCCUCACGUCAGGCGCUGGCAGCUGCCGAUGGUUGUCACCAUCGUCGCCUUCGGGGUGGAUGCGAAUGGGUUCCAACUUUUGUGAUUGAAGAAGAAGAUAUCUACAUGCGACAUUUAGGGUUUGGCUUUCGUGGUCUCUCCCUCUCCGUUGCUUUUCAGGAGUACUUUUGGUACUUACAAGAUUGAUGACGAAGAGGAUGGCAAGGCCAAAUACAGUAAUUUGGAUUUUGGAGAUCAUCAAGCUCAAGCGCUUGUGAGAAGGUUUAUGAUAAAAGGAAAAGAAAAAUCCCAUAUUAAGGUAAUUGGAGAGUUUGAUAGGAUAGGGCCAUGGUAAAAAAAGAUGAGGGAACAGUUGAGGAGGCUGGGGUACGGAGGAAAUGAUGGGUAGGUAGAUGGGAUUUCGCCACUAAACUUGUGCUCAAGCAAGUGUCGGAGUGGGAUGUGAAUUAUGACCAUGUCACUAUGAUGCCAUAUUUUGUUACUAGUAUGCAGGCUAGUAGAUUUAGGAAAGCCAAGACUGGAGCUGCUAAAUGGUAGGCUUGUAAAAUCAUAUGGCGAUAAUUUUAUGUUGUUAUUGAUGUCAAGCUGGAAGAGGCUUGUGUCUUGGAGUAGAUUGUGGGUAGGAAGAGGACGAGAAGAAAGAAGCCUUAGGAGGAUAGGCUUGAUUGGAAGGACUGCAUUAUCAAACUUUUGCUACUUCACCAAGAGAAUGAGGAUGAUAUAGAGUAACGAUAGUAAGACAUAUUUCUAGAGAUGUCUUAAAUUGAUAAGUGCUGAAAGAUGAAAACCAAAUAGUUGGUGGGAUUUGAAUGUUUGGGCGCCCCCUGCCAAUUGUGUGUUUUAUACAUAAAUUGCUGACAAAAAUAUUUCUCUUUUUGGCAUGGCUAUUUAUAUAUCAACACAUACAUAUAAAUUGAAUGAGCAAUUGCUUAAGACACUUAAAAAUUGCUUUUUACCUAAGUAGCAAUAGUCUUACAGUACUUUGGUUUUGGAUGUAUUGUUUAUCUUUGCUUCAGUUGAUCAUAUAAAGUGAAUUUAGGGUGCUGAUUGAAAUACUAUGAAUAAAGAAAUUCCUGAUUUAAUGUCUCAGUUUAAAGUAAAAGUCAAUUCUUUUUUUCUUCCCUUUGGAAUUUGCAUAUGAAAAAUAUUAUUUAGUGAAUCAGGUUAAAGUUUUUCUUUUUUAUAGUAUUGUUUAGAAGUUUUACUUGGGAAAAUUAGCUUGUAAAUUUGUAGAAUUCAUAUUUAUGAUUCAUAAAUAUAUAAAAAAUUCUCUGUAAGUCAAUUGUUUCUAACUCUAUUAGGAAAUGAAUUCCUUAAGUACAUAAGUUUCAGUUAAUGGGAGAAUCAAGGGAAAAAAAGCUCUGUCGUCACUACACCUUGUUUCAUCAUUCCUAGAAAGCUAGAUGGAAACUGUGUUUUCUUUUAGAUUUAUAAUUCUGAACUCAUAUGUGAUAAAUGUGGGCAAAUAUCAAUAUAUGUAUAAAUGACAGCAUUUUUGUAAUGUUUUCAGUCCAAAUGCUAAAAAUUAUAAUGCAAAAUUUAGGAAUGGCUAGUAAUAAAAAAGAAUAAUGGAAACAACCUCUUGGGAGGGACAAGGCUAUGUAUUUGUGGGUGCUGAUGUACAAGGUGCCCAUAACAAUAAAAAAUAUCAAGACAGAGAAAUUCUAAUAUGGUUCUGGCAUAGAUGAUAUCAUUAAGGAAAUAAGGUGGUUACAUCGGGACUGCCUCAGAUCUUGUACAUAACAUCUGGUGGAGUUUCUUUUGUUGUCCUUUUGAUUCUAUUGUUGUUUCUAAUUUCUAGAUUAAGUCUUCAUGUUAUCUCUACAAAUAAAAAAAUUUAGGAUGGCAUGAAUUAUGUAUUCAGCAUAGCAAGGGAGACUGAUAAUUGGAUGUUUAUAAGCAACAAACAAUGUUAAAUGGGUGUAUAUAUACAAGAUCAUAAUGUGAGUAUGACAUGCAAAAAUAAUGAAAUAUUCUGACCGAGGAGCUUUUGUUGACUUAUCAGUGUCAUUUAGCUCCAAGCAUAUGCAACUAGAUUUUCCUUAAAAUGCCAAGAUCCAGACAUGCUGCUUGCAGAAAAGACAUAAAAAUGAGCUUUGUAAGUACUGAAACAGUGAAAUCUGAUGUUGAAGACAAUUAUGUGAGGUUCUAUGACACACAGUAUUGAGUAAAAGAAUUUAAACUCUAAUUGAGAAUAUGGUGUCUAAGACUUAUCAGUUGUGUCCCCAUGGCAAUGUAGAAGUGUGGAUCUGUUCACAAAAAGUUUGAUGCACUUGCGAGGAUUUAACUCUUAAAGAAGAAUUACAAUGGUUAAAAGAUUCAACUGGUAGAAAGGCACAAGACUUUAUGAAUCUUUAAAAUGUUUCAAUUGUUUAUUGGAAGAUUUGAUCUGUUACUAGUUCUAUAAUCUGGCUGCAUUGAUGGAGCUAUAAGGUUGACAGAUGGCUGCUAAAAGAUAGUUGGCAGGAAAAAAUUCUGUUAUACUUAACCCAAAAUCAAAGUUCCUGAACUCAUUUCCCAAUUGAGUCCGAUGAUGUAGAAAUAAGUGUACACUAUGAUAUUGUGGGUAGAGUAGUUGACAACAAUGGGUUAGUGAAUAAAGAAUAUAAGGAAGAAUCAGAAGCUUGUUUUACCACAGAUGUUACUGAUGCCUCUUAUAUAGCAUGCCUGUUAUCUGGCAACCAGGUUAACAGACUUCUAGUAGGCUUUUGGCAAAAAUUUAGAGGUUGCCUUUUCCAAACUUGUGAUAUCAUGGAAAAUCCUAUAAAUUUGAUAUCAUAGAUUGAUAGAUACACCUAAAAUCAACAAAUUUCCGUAAAUAUCUUCCAGAGUGCAAUAGAUACCCUUCUUAUGUUGAGAAAAUUCACGAAUAACUCUAUGUCUAGUGGCUAUAUUUAAUUGUAUCUUAGCAGGAAGUCACUCUUCUGUUUGACUAUCUUCUCUUUUGGGCUAAAGCCAUGGCUGUGAUUCUUACCGAAGCUGGCUGUUCAUAAUUCACUUUCUUAGUUUAGUCCUUUGAUAUUGCUACAAAUGAUUUAAACAUAUUUUAAAUGAAUAAACUUUUUAGUAGGAGGAUAUAGAAUCAAAAUAAAAAAUCAUCUUCUAAUGUUUGUCCAAGUACAAAUGGCCAGAUUCCUUGUUUAUUUGUUAAAUGCAUUGUUCAGAAUUCAGAUAAAAGUGCAAUAUAUUGCUGGAAUUUUUGGCAGUACUUAAUUUACUUUAUUAUGAACUUCUGAAACUUUUACUUUAGGGAUGGCAAUUUUGGUGGUAGGUUGGGUUUAAAAGUCAAUGCGGGGUGGAGGUCAAAUUUAGGUUGGGUCACUAUCGAAUCAAAUUUAGUUGGCUCCGGAGAAUGCCAAUACAUUUCUGACUGGCUCAUGUUAGGUUUCUUUGUGGAUAAACCUGUCAAUCUGGCUGCAUAUUAAAACAAUGGCUAUUAACUGUGGAGGAACAACAUCAUCAAGGUCUCAUGCAGUUUGUUAAAAAAAACUAGAAUAAAUUUUAUAAAGGUCUAGUAUAUUUUUCAUGUAUUAUUUGCUUGUAGAUAUAGAUAGUGGACUGCCAAAACAUCAACAGGAUUUAAAAACACUUAUGCUAGUUGGUAUACAAAUUGUGAUUUUCUGUCCAAUUGGAAUUUGGAUGAAGGGGGUUAACAACUCAAGCUCAUAAAUCUAUGGUGUUUCGUUGGCUAUGUUAAAUUAUGAAACAGUUAAGUUAAACACAUUCAGUGGAAACCAAAAAUCGUGUCUUGUGAGAAAAUGAUCAAUUACAGCAUGUUGUAAACCAAAUAAAUUUGGAAGAUUCAUUUUAACUAAAUAUCUAUGCAAUAAACCUCAUGAUUACUUCGAAUUGGAACAUAUUAUACAAAUGUAAUAAUUCUCUUGAUUGUAGAUUUCUCUUAUUGAUUAUGUACUCUGAAUAACACCAAAAUCUUGUGAAUCUCAGACAGGAGAUUUUCUAAAUAGACAGCCACAGUUUAUUCUGGUGCCCUGCACUCAUUUUUGCAUAAACAAGUCAAGCAUGUUUGAUUUUAUAAUUUUAUUUAUAAGGUGAAAAAUUUAGUCUGAUUAUUAACCAUAUAGUCACUCUCAUCUUAACCUUUGCAAUAUUCACAAUCCUGUUUGCCACUGAAUUCUCAGAAAUCUUAUCUUCAUACAAAGAGUAUUGUAGAUAAUUGACAACAUUAGGAGCUUAUAGUUUCCUUUUUAUGGAAUAUUCUUUUAUUUGUAUCUGGUUAAAUUUCAUAUUUAAAACUUGCUGCACACUUAUACAAUUUACUUGUGUUCUGCAUACGAUCAUCUGCUGGAGCUCAUCCAUCUUUCAAGCAAAUUUUACUGUAUAAAAUGUUUCAUCUCUAAGGUGGUUUUUGGUUAAUCAUUAGAAUUGGAAUCGGGUUGGACUUUAAGAAUUGAGUCUAAGAUAUCUUAUAUAUUUUGAAAAAUCGAGAUCUCAUUUGUCCAACUCAAGUGAAAGAUAAGGAAUACCUUUUAUUAACUAAUUAAAUUCUUCUUUGAUAAUUAUACCUGUCACUUGAUAAUUGGCUCUUUCCGAAAUGUGUUAACCAAAUCGAGACACAAAAUCAAAAUGAGUAGUCACUUUUGAUCCAACAAAUCUACUGAGUAGCCCUAGAGGCUGAUGUAGUAAGAAAUUGAUAGUCUAUGGUAUCACAUCUUUUCAUGAAUAUCAUAUCUGCUCAAUAUUUUUUACCUUGAUGUUUUUAUUUCUGCUUUUUACAAAUAAAAAAUGAUAUCAUACAUGCAUAUGUAAUGUACAAUCAUAUAUUGUAAAAUAUGGUGAUCAGUUAUAUUUGUGUGUGGAGCACCAUUGUGCUCUUUUUUAAUAAAACGUUCUUGAUUCUUGUUAGCUCUUUAUGUUUCACUCGUAUGAUGCAUAUCAGUAAAGAGAGUUUUAAAUUCACCUCUUCCAUUAAUGACUUUGGUAUAAUUCUUGGAGGUCCUGUAUCUUUCUUGUUGGCAGUGCAAUGGAGGGCAGCUCAAACACCAACUUGUGUAAUUCUCUUGGUGGAUAGGGAGUAAAAGAAUAACCUGUUCUAAUGAAAAAGUCAUAUCUUUGAUUUCCUGUUCUAGAAGUUUACGUGAUAACAUGUUAGGUACCCAUAUAAAUUCAGCUGGCUAGAAUGUACUUUUGAAGCACAUAUGGUACAAGUGUCUGCAUGAUCUCCAAAGCUUUUAAAAGGUGUGAUGUAAGUGCUGGAUUCUGUUUUGAGGAAAGGAUGAACUUGGAUGAAAUUAUGCUUGACCAGGCAUAACACCUGAAUAGCAAAGGAGUGAAAACACGACAAUAAUCUUUGACGAAGGCCUUUGUUCUGUUUGCAUCUUGAGUGGAAAAUGCCUUCAGUUUGUUUCGUAUGGUACUCUUACCCUCUGAUUCAGUAUAGUUACCUUUUCCAGCUUCUUGAGUUAGUUACAGCUGUAUGGGUGGAAGUUUUAUGGUUAAGGAUUGUACUCGUGAAUGUAGAUGCAUUUACAAAACUCCUGCUGCAAUAAGUGACAGAUAAUGUAUGUCUUUCUACUACUUUUCUAAUAAAAGUUGGGCUUUGGACAUAUUUGAUACAGUAAGUUGCAGGAAAAGCUAUGCACAUGUCAAUGAGUUAGAUGCCUUAGAAGUUCUAUCUCUUCUAUGAUCAAAGAGAUGUGCUCUAUGAGAAGCUUGGAAACAAUAUGAACUAUGAAAUUCGUCUUGUUUUGGUUCAACUGUCAUUACAUAGGAGGCGAUGCAGAUUGGUUAGUGUAAAGAUUGGGUUGUAAAGUGGACAGGGUUGGAUGCUUUGUGGUUAUGUUCAUCUGAUUGGAUUGAAGUAAGCUUGUAUUAGGUGUGGAAUGCAGUUUAUACAUACGAGGGGAAGGAACCUGCUAAGAAUGUUUACCUGUAUCAGAGCAGCUAAUUAGCCUUGGUAGAAAUUGAUGACAGAAAGCAAUUACCAUUGUAGAUCAUUAAUGACAGAAAGUAACUACUGUAGACCUUUAAUAACUCUGAUAUAUCGAAUAAUUGGGUGAUCUACUAGGAAAAGUCCCUAUUGUCAAAAGUUACUUAUGGAUUCUUCUAGUGUUUCCAUUGCUUUUGGUUCAUAUAGCCUAAGAGUGCUUUUGCCUGUGAGGGAUGGUAGUGAAAGUUACUGCAUUGCUAUAGGUAAAGAGUUAGCAUCAGAACCUCCCACAAUUAGUACUGGUACUAGGGUCUACAAUGGUAAUUGCUUUCUGUCAUCAAUUUCUACCAAGGCUAAUUAGCUACUCUGAUACAGGUAAACAUUCUUAGCAGGUUCCUUCCCAUCCUAUGUAUAAUCACAAAAAAUACAUUUAGAUAUUACUAUCGAGAAGAUGUAUUCUUGGAUUUGUAUUCUUAAAAUUAAAAAAGAAAGAAUGCCUAAAGAAUGUUUACAAGUGUUUGUUGCUACAGUUGUUCUUAUUGUCCUUUAAUAUUGCAAUAUUCAAAGUUAAUCUGGAACUUUGCAGAUCGUUCAAUCAGAUUGACAAUGACAAAUCUCUAGGCAUGUGACAGAUGGCCUCAAUGAGCUUGAGGAAGUUGGUAAUAAGGAUGCCAAGCAAAUUUUCCUAAUGCUUAAUGGUAUGUUGAGGCAGUAAAACACAUCAUUAUCCUCUACAGUUUGCUCCAUGAAUGUCAGAUGUCUAUGAUAUUAUUAUUGAUAUAGUAUAUCAGUCAAUAUUUGUAACUAAGUUAUUGAACACUAUCGAUAAUCUUAUGGUUAUUGUUGUUCCGCAUGCUUCAGAAUCUAUGAGAUGCUCUGCUGUAAUUGAAUUUCUGGGAGUUAGUCCACACUUGUCAUAUAAGAUCAGUAGCGAAAUAUGCUUUUGUUUCAACAUGAAUUACAAGUCUUUUCAUGUAUGAUGAUUUCAUAGUUGUCCUGAUUAUGGUUUAUCAUGCCUUACUUAUGAACAAGAAGGAUGGCAAUGCUUGCUGUAAAAAUGGACUGUGCUGAUCAUAUCAUCUAGUAUCAAUGUUCUUGUUUUUCCAUUAAGAAAUUCAAUCAAGUCAUAAACUCUUGAGAACAAUGCCAUAUCUGCAAUGAUCAUGUUUUCCCAGAUCUGAGAAAACGAUGGGUGUUGAAUUUGUGUUCCUUAUCUUCAUCUUGUCCUGACCGUUGGUUUCAACUUAAGCCACUUCAACUGACCAUUACAUGCUUCUCUGAAAUUUAUGCACCUCUGUAGGUAACCUGAUGUCGAGUCAUCUCUUUGGCAUCUUUGACUAAAACAUGCUGUUGAUGGAGCCACUAACUCAAAAAGUCCUUCCAGAUGGUUUGUGGUCAUGGAUCAUCAAGUCCAAGCUCAUCCACCAUGGAAGGCAGCAGAGCAGUCAUGUUUGAACAUGAGAUUGUCUUGUUUCUCGAUCUUUUCCAUUCAGGGAAUAGAUUCUUUUCCUUUUGUAUGUUAUGUUUGGGCUCCUUUAGUCUUUGAUCAUUUGAAUCCAUUAUUCCUAGACCUUUAACUUGUACUUGCUUAUCUGCAACUACCAAG